UACGUUCGUUGGGUAGGGGAGCGUUCUGUAAGCCUGUGAAGGUGGCCUGUGAGGGUUGCUGGAGGUAUCAGAAGUGCGAAUGCUGACAUAAGUAACGAUAAAGCGGGUGAAAAGCCCGCUCGCCGGAAGACCAAGGGUUCCUGUCCAACGUUAAUCGGGGCAGGGUGAGUCGACCCCUAAGGCGAGGCCGAAAGGCGUAGUCGAUGGGAAACGGGUUAAUAUUCCCGUACUUGGUGUUACUGCGAAGGGGGGACGGAGAAGGCUAUGUUGGCCGGGCGACGGUUGUCCCGGUUUAAGCGUGUAGGUGUGUGUUCCAGGUAAAUCCGGUUCACUUUAACACUGAGGCGUGAUGACGAGGCACUACGGUGCUGAAGCAACAAAUGCCCUGCUUCCAGGAAAAGCCUCUAAGCAUCAGGUAACAUCAAAUCGUACCCCAAACCGACACAGGUGGUCAGGUAGAGAAUACCAAGGCGCUUGAGAGAACUCGGGUGAAGGAACUAGGCAAAAUGGUGCCGUAACUUCGGGAGAAGGCACGCUGACAUGUAGGUGAAGUGAUUUACUCAUGGAGCUGAAGUCAGUCGAAGAUACCAGCUGGCUGCAACUGUUUAUUAAAAACACAGCACUGUGCAAACACGAAAGUGGACGUAUACGGUGUGACGCCUGCCCGGUGCCGGAAGGUUAAUUGAUGGGGUCAGCGCAAGCGAAGCUCCUGAUCGAAGCCCCGGUAAACGGCGGCCGUAACUAUAACGGUCCUAAGGUAGCGAAAUUCCUUGUCGGGUAAGUUCCGACCUGCACGAAUGGCGUAAUGAUGGCCAGGCUGUCUCCACCCGAGACUCAGUGAAAUUGAACUCGCUGUGAAGAUGCAGUGUACCCGCGGCAAGACGGAAAGACCCCGUGAACCUUUACUAUAGCUUGACACUGAACAUUGAGCCUUGAUGUGUAG
rnacentral:rRNA from 1 species